CUCGGCUCUCGGUGUGCCUCGGUUUUCCUGCUGUUUACUUAUACGCUUCAUAAACACUCCUAUUCUUUUCCUCCUGCCAGAACUGAGAGCCUCAGUAUCCUGUGUGUGUGUGGUCCCAGGCCUGGGGGGCUCUUGGCCCUGUCCUGAGAGCAUCUUUCCCUGUGGUCAUUUUGUCUCCAGCAAAAUGUAACUACUGGGCAUGAACCCAAACACUCCAAAGACCAACACCAGCCAACAGGGGACACCAACAGAAGCAUAUGUUUGCAAUGGCAGGAGAGAAGAUGGAUGACUGGAAGAGGAAGAGACAGAGGAGACUAUUUGAAUCACGGCUGUGAGCUUGUGUUUGUCUAAAAUUGAUUUAGAUGAAGGCAUCACUUUUUCGCAAAUAAAUUACAAAGGCCCUUUAAAUAUUACCAAACCAAUAUGUCAGAAUCUAACGAUGAAUGACCAAGUUAAUGAUGUAGUACAGUAAGUGCAUUAUUUAAUGAUAUAAAGUGACAUGUAUAAUGAAGUAUGUAAUGUACAUAUGCUGAAAUUCAUUAGCCGUAUGUGGCAGAAUUAUCUAUUAUUCCUCUCUUGUUGUCGUUUUGAAUAUGAAAGUUGUUUCAAAAUCUGCUUUAUUGUUGUAGAUUUAAUCUUACAAAAGGCUGUGUUUGCUAAUUAUACGCUUACCUUCUGGGUCGCUUAGUAAAGCACCUUACUGUGGAAACAAAUAUGCACAGGCUUUAUUUGUCUCCGCUGUUUGUCAUUGGUAUCUUUUUUUGCUUUGAAAUGUGCAAUCAUGUAAUAUGUUCCAUGUUUUUAUUAUACUCUAAAGCCAUUUGCAUAAGAAUCUGGUUCUGCUAAAUCAAUACAGCCCUGUAGAUUAUUAAAACAUUCACCACAUUA